UACGUAGGUGGCAAGCGUUAUCCGGAUUUAUUGGGUGUAAAGGGCGUGUAGGCGGGAGCGCAAGUCAGAUGUGAAAACUCAGGGCUCAACCCUGAGCCUGCAUUUGAAACUGUGUUUCUUGAGUGCUGGAGAGGCAAUCGGAAUUCCGUGUGUAGCGGUGAAAUGCGUAGAUAUACGGGGGAACACCAGUGGCGAAGGCGGAUUGCUGGACAGUAACUGACGCUGAGGCGCGAAAGCGUGGGGAGCAAACAGG
rnacentral:rRNA from 1 species